UACGAGGGGUGCAAGCGUUAAUCGGAAUUACUGGGCGUAAAGCGCGCGUAGGCGGUUUAUCACGCUGGAUGUGAAAUCCCCGGGCUUAACCUGGGAACUGCAUCCAGAACGGGUAGGCUAGAAUGCAGCAGAGGAUAGUGGAAUUUCAGGUGUAGCGGUGAAAUGCGUAGAGAUCUGAAGGAACAUCAGUGGCGAAGGCGACUGUCUGGGCUGACAUUGACGCUGAGGUGCGAAAGCGUGGGUAGCAAACAGG
rnacentral:rRNA from 1 species